rnacentral:misc_RNA from 1 species
ACCAAAAGACAAAUAAAUGCAUACAUGUGCAGAAGAGGAUAUAAUAAAACACAAAGGAUUAAUGUAAAUGUUGAUCUAUAUUAUCCUGAACCAUUAAAUGUGGCCCCAACUGUAGUCAUUAAGGAUGUUGAUAUUUCUCACAGAAUAGCAAAUUUACUGAAUGGAAUGACUUGAAGCAUAUACAUGUAAAUAAUGAAUCAACAACUUACAGAAAUCCCAUUUCACCUUUGUUCUGUAGCAAACAGGAAGGAUUCAGUAUGUUGAGUUGAGGCAUAGGCAGAUAUAGAAGCAUACAUAUAGAUUAUAUGAUGUUGGGGCCUGCGUGACUCCCCUCAUGCCAAGUAGGAAGGUUGCCAACAUUCUUUGACACGCUUCUUAGAUGGCAUUCAGGGAGCCAGGCAGGAACAAUUUCAGAUAAAAGAUCAGCCAAUUCGCCUUAGUUACCUGUCAACUUUCUUAACCUUCAAAGCAGAUAAAAUUUAGCACUGUACAUGCGCAUUUUCUUGCCCAUUUCUUGGCGUACUCAUAGGUUCAAGAUUACUAUAGCUAUUUGUGCCCUCCUACAGUAAUCGAGAACUAGUUGAGUAAGAACCUACAGUUGAAUAUAUAUCAGAGAUGAUAUGAUAAAAACUGAGAGAAUUAUAUUCCUUAUGUGAGGGAAGUGUGAAUUCUCUCGCUUUCUCUGCAUCGAUCCUUGGAAGGAAAGAACAGUAGAAACAUGGAUUUUAAAGAGUGAUAUAUAUAGAAAAAGAAGAAGGAAAGGAGACAAAGACAGCAGAAAGUCCAUGGAAGAGGGGAGAUGCAGAUCGUGAAGAAGGCGGCAACGAAGGCUUAUUUCCAACAAAUAGUUCCAUGGAUACGGCCAAAGUUGCCUGGGUUUUACAGGUAGCCUCCUUUGGAUUUUCUUGCCUUGGUAAAGGCGAUCCACCACACUAUUCCCUUUCUUUUCUUUUAUUCUCUCUUACUUUUCUUUUUUAAAGUAAUUAAGAAAUUUAAUUAGAAUUAAGACUAAUUAAUUAUCAUUCAAAUGAGGAUAUUGUUUUUAUUGGUGGAAUGGUUAACGGCUUUUG